UCUCUCUCCCUAUAUCUCUGUUCAGCGUGUUGGUGUAACUGAGAUAAAUGCCAAGCUGGCUCCCUGCUGUGCGUGGUCCGACACCCCUUGGCCAUAGAGAUUCCAGCUAUUUAAGUUUGGAAAUGACAUUUCUUCACACGUCUUCCAAGAUAGCAAUGUAUGUCAAUCACCGGGAGCUCUGCCAAUGACAAUGCCAAUGGAUUUGAAUUUCCCAUUCAUGCUAGGGUGAAGGGGCUAUCUCUUUGACUUCUCCGACUGGGGCCUUUCAUCUCACCCAGGAAAGUUUAUUUCCCAAGGAAUUUUCUUUGUGGUCUCAAACUUGAAUGACCUUCCUUUUAUAACC
rnacentral:lncRNA from 1 species